GAUUUAUAAAAAGCGCCAGGACUAAGCGGCUGCUUAGUUGACGAGGUGGAGGUUCUAUCGAUCGAUCGGCGGGUGCCUCCCGGUUCUAGUCACAGAACCGUAUGAUCCUUCUUCAAAACAUCGGGGCAACCCGGUGGACAAAGGGAAGGUUCAAGUGACCC
rfam:Bacillus marisflavi strain JCM 11544 scaffold5, whole genome shotgun sequence.